UAUGCAUGAUGAGGGCAAUCUCUUAGGUAUUCCUUAAAGUGUUCCCAAACAUCAUGGAAACUUUCUAAAGGUCAUUAUUGGAAUCCUUGUAUCUUGUUUCUUAAGAG
rfam:Arabis alpina cultivar Pajares scaff_60125_1_contig_5, whole genome shotgun sequence.